AUGAGAAAAAGAAACAACAUUUAAGAAACCUAAGCAUUUUACAUGACUGUCUGGAAUACUUUGUGUUUGGUCAAUGGCAAUAUUCUGUUGUCAAAUAUUUUAAUAAUAAUGAGUGCUAAAAUGUAUGUUAUGUUAUUGUAACAAGGAAGGACACCGGGAACUGGAUUCUUCAAACACAGAUGGAAAGCCUGGAGAAGGACAUAUAAUUAAUGGGGAAAACCUCACAACCACCAAAAGGGUAAGUGGCAUUAAUAAGGAUUUACCCUGCGGUUGAUUGAGGCUGUCAUGUUUAACCUGUGUUUUCUCUGUUCCCGCCCGGGUGUGAGCGAGGGGGUGAGCUGGCCUGGAGAGGUAUCCUCUAUAUGCCCACUCUGACCGUAGGGCGUGGUUGAGGAAGUAGCAUUCCCAUGUGGACAGCUGUAGUGUGUGCACCUCCAGCUCUGGACUCCUUUAUUCGGAUAGGAGCAUGGGAGAAGGGGAGAUGUGGCUGAAUCACCCGCCCCACCUUUUCGUCAUCGUCGCGCUGCCUCUGAGGGCCGUCCUUCAGCCAGGCUCACAACGGGAGAUGGCAGGAGAGAGGAGAGGUGCAAUUUAAAAAGGUCCAGGAACGGAGCGGGGAGGGUCCGGUGCGAAUUAGAUGCAGGUAUUGGAGCGCGCUUUGUGGCAAUGGGCCAGGAUGCUGGGCCGCCAUUCCUGUCACCCACCGCGGCCCCAGGGAAGUUGAGCCACUCGAUGAAGCUGCUGCCCCUCGUGCCCCGGAUCCAGGAGGGGAGCGCGUCAUGGCCAUCGAACCCCGCCCAUUAUUCCUGGACCUUACUCUCUCUUCACUCCCCACCUUCACAUAGUCCCAUUCACCGCGAGGUCGCCAGAUCCCCCUUAAUUUUGGACACUUUACCCCUUGGACACUAUUUUGCCCAUUUGUGAAAUGUUAAGUUAAAAAUUAAAAUUUAAUCGAAAAUAUGGACCGGCUAAACUUAUUUAUUUAUUUUAUGCACAUUAGUUGAAAAUGGAAAGCUCUUUUUUUUUUUAACAGCCAGGAAUGUUAUUUGCAGUAAUAUAAUGGUGCUGUAUGGUUUAUGCAUUUAAUGCACCCUCUUGUGGACAAAGGAAACAAUGUCAAUUUAAAAUAAUCAGCUGACUUUGAAAUCCAAAUAUUAUUCUAAUUUGUUUUAUAUUUAAGGUAAAAAUUCGAACUUAGUUUAUCUGCCCAGUUGACAGCCCUAAUUUCCAAUAAAUGGCACUCUGUUUCUUGUGUUACAUAGAUAUCAUGCAAAUUUGUAAACCUUUCAAAGAAAUGUUCUUCCGUGAAAUUAGCGUUUUCAAGGAAAAGUGUCCAACUGCACAAUGGUUUAAACUAAUAACAGAAAAUGAGGAAGAGAUUUUGAUGCUCUGUUAUUACAGAAGAUUUCUAAGCCGCAGGUCAUGUGUGAUUCACACAGAUGUACAAUAUGCACGCUAUAUGCUAUUUUUUUUUAAGUUAAUUGUGCAGGACUUUUUUUUAAUAUAUAUACUGUAUAUAAAGCUUCCAAAACCUAGUCAUGCCGGUACGUGUGUGGCCACCCAUUUUUAACAAACAACUUCAGUGAGUGUGUGAUGAAACUGACCGUUAUCCUUAUUUUAAAGCUAUGGGAUUGUGACAGAGGGUUUUUAAUAGGUCUGGUGGCCAGUGCAGUUUCCUUCCCUCUGGAUUGCAUCAGGGCUGGUAUCUCAUCCAGAUGUCUACUGGAUGUGAGUUUCAUCUGCAAGAGCAUCUGCCUAUCUGCAAUAUGUCUCUAAAUUUCCAAAUGUUUUUGAGCCAUUUACAGUAUGAUGUAGAAUGUGGAACUUAAGAAAAUAAAAAACUUACUGUUUUAAAGGCAUAAAACUGAAGGAAUAUAAUGUCUGGUAUAUUUUUUAUAAACUGACUUAAAUGGUCUUCAAAGACUUUUUGAAUUUGUGAUUUUGUUUUGGAUUGUUUUGCUUCUGGAUUAUUCAUGAUGAUUUAAAUGUUAAUUACUGCUGUGAUUAUAUAAACAUUCAGAGCUAACAGUUGUAACACUCUUACUGAACAAUGUACAUUGGGGUCUAAAAGUCUGAGAACACAUUACAAAUCUGGGAUUUAAAAUCUAAUUUAAACCUGAAAAUAAACAGCCACUUUUGGGAUUUAAAAAAAAAUAAAAGAAAUGUUACGAUGCAAUGUGAAGAGGAAAGAUUUCAGAUUUUUGCAUUAUUUCUAGGUCACUAAUCAAAACUAAAUUUGUGACACUGUGUUAACUCCUUUGAAAGGUCAGAUUUUCUUGCUUUCACUGAAGUACACAAGAUGCUCUUUGGAACAUUCUCAAAUCAUGCCGAAAAACAUGAUCAUCAGGUUCAUGCAAACUCUAGUGCAUGCUGUUAUUAGAGCAAAGACAUUCUCAAAUUCAUGUACAUUUUUCAAAUCAACUUUUCAGUGAAACUGUUAUGCUGAUAAAGUAUUUAAAUAAAUGUAUUAAAUUAUCACUAGUGAAUUUUUGGACCCCACGGUACAUAGUGAAUAAUAAAAAACAAACAAGAAAGAAUGCAGUAGUAUGUAGAGCAUAUGUGGUGGCAAAUGUGAGGGUCAUGCAGUAGAUUUGGGAAAAGUGAAGUUGGGUAAUACUACAGUAAGUGUUUUAUGAGUCACUGCUCUGAUGCCUUUACUCUUUUUUACACAUUAAUAUAGAGUUUUAUCUCUGAGAAACUUAGUGGUUGUAGUUCAACUAUUUGAACAGACUUGAGUACUCACACAAUCACUACAUACAUGCAAGAAAACUGUCAUACACACAUACACAAAUGAGGAAAGUAUGUUGUGAUAUUUUGUCCAUAAGCAUCAUAAGAGAGUCAUGUGACUGUGAGGAACAGCUGUGGUUUUCUAAUUAUCCUGACAAAUUCUACACUGAGCCAUUUUGAACAUUGUUAAAGCAUUUUAUAUGCAUUGCUAACAUGAUUUUGUGCAUAACUGUUGUCUGUAUUCCUUUCACAACUGCUGUGUGUACUGGUAAAGUGCUG